UCAUACACGACCGCAAAAAGAGAGCCUCACUUUUUAAUUUUGCACAGGGCCUCGAAAACUUUUGAGACGGCUCUGCUCCCAGUCCCUCAUCUCUCCCAGUCCCUCACUCUAUCGACUCCUCUCUAUCUCAUUCCGCCUCCCAGUCCGGCAGUCCCUCACUCUGUCCCGAUCGCAAUUCGACCUCAGCGGCUCAGCCCGACAGCCCCGACACCGGUCGUGAUUCGACCUCAUCCCGACAGCCCCGACCCCGAUCGCUAUUCGAUCGCUCUCUGUGCUUCCUGCAUCGCUGAUCGAUCUCCAGGUUUGAUCUCCACCUUGGGCUUUCAUUUAUGCUUGUAUUAUACCAAUACGACAUCGUUCGGUUCCACAAUUGCCAAUGCCAAGCUGCAACUAAAACCGCAAAGGCGCAAAGUCCCUAUACCCUUUUUUCAAAACCUCCAAACAAAAACCCACGGUAACACUUGAGCUCAAGAAUCCAACCAUGGCCGAUUCUGGAGCUAACCCUAAACAGAGACAACCCAAGAAGAACAAGAAGAAGAGAAAGCAGAGCGGACCCCAAGAAUCUGAAAGGCCACCCAAGACUAACCGCACCAAUUCAUCAGAGAACGAGAAUGAACCACAAGACCAAAACUUUGAAGUUGGAAAAGCUGAAAAACCCAAUCAAGGUGGUCCAUGGAGGAACCUGGAGUUAAUUCUGUCAAUCCAGAACAGAGAGCUUGAUCUUCACAAGAAGGUGGAACUAGCUCAUGGUUUUGUGAUGUCGAGGGUGAAGGAAGAAGGAGGCAGCAGUGAUGAGGAUAAUCAAGCAGUGAACAUGUCACGUUUAGUAAUUUUUGUCAGUGAUUGGAUCCAGUCAUUGUUGAUUUCCGAAGGAAAUAAAGUUGAGAGUGGUGGAGAGAAGCAUCAAGCUGAAGUUAUUUAUACGUAUUUGGAUUUAAGAUGCUGGGAGAUUUUCAAAUUCUGUUUGGAGGAGUCUCUGAAAUUAAAUGUUUUGUUAAGUUUCUCACGGAACCUUUUACGCUCUAUAUGUUGGAUUGCAAGGAGCGCACUGUCCUUAUUGAACAAAAAAAUUAUUGGUGAAGGGUUACAAUUGUACACUACUGUGCUUGAUUGUAUUUCUUUGGUAUUUUCAUCCCAAGAAGGCUUCUCAAAUGAAAAUUUAGACAUGUGGAUUAUAACUGUAAGUUCAGUUCUUGACCUUGGACACAAAUUUUACAGUGAAGCUCCCGUUGGUGGCAAUGAGGGUGUAUUUGUUUUCCGAUUCUUGUGCUUGGUGCUUGAGCCAUUUGCCAGGUUUUUAAGGGCUCACGCAGCUCGGAAAGAUGGAUUUCGUGAUUUUAGUAAUAAGCUCCUUGAGCCUCUGUUGCACCUCUUGGGUCUCUUGCAUCUCCAGAUUGGUGGAAGUAAUCCUGGUUGGAGAAGAAACUUACUGAAGCUUGUUGAAGAUGUAUUAUCUCAUGGGCUUUAUCACCCGCUCCACAUUGAUGGGUUUUUGAGCUUAUGCAGUACUGAAAAAGACACCACAUCCAAUGAGAGGACUGUGUCGGUUGUAAGAGAUGUGAAUCCGCCUGUCCCCGAAUCCGGCUGCUGGUGCGGGCUUAUACCUGGCUGGAUGGGACUUUCUAAAUGCGGGACGAAAUCCGGAAACCAAUUGCUGGCUCUGAAUAACCAGCCGUUCAAUUCAAUUCUUCGGAAGUCAAAAGAUUCCAAAACAAUCAACCAGAGUUAUCAUAGACAUUUAUUUGAUAAAGUGGAAGGAAUUUUAGCUGCAAAGAAUGCAUUUGCAGUAGAAAGCAUAGGAGUAUUGUUUCACUUGCUUAUUGAUCAAGUUAAAAAGCUAAAGAGGGAUUCAGCGCUGACUGCCAGUACCAAAAUGAUGGGGAAGAGUGAAGGUUCAAGACAGUUAGAAGAUUGUUCAUUGGGUCAAACGUCUAUGAUGUCUUCUGAGAGUCGUAUUGUUGAAAAGAAUUAUUGCUCAACUAGUUUCAAUCCAGGAACACGAAAGUCACUUCACGAUUUUUUUGUACUGAUUAUGGAGCCUCUUUUGCUUGAGAUCAAUGGCUUUCUUGAAACUAAACUGAAAGUGGGCCCUGAAUUGUUGGAUAUUCAUUGCACACUUAAAGCUAUAAAUAAUGUACUUUCGGUCUUUAUGCAUGAAAAGAUUUACGUGAGAACAGAGGAUGCCUCUGAGGGAGCUUCUCGUAAUUUCUUGAAGAAGGUUUAUAAUAUUAUCAUCUCAUUGUCCUCAGAUUUAAUUCAGUUGUCAGUUACACACUUAGAUAGUUUUACUCUAAUAGCAAGUGAGGUACUUUCUGCUGUUGGCUAUCUUUUGGAAAUUGAGUAUGAUGUUCUGGAGAAUGAUCUAGUAAGCUUGUGGUUAAUGAUCCUCUCUUACUGGGCCAUUGGGCUUUCUUUGGUGGAUUCUCCGGAUAGAUGCACAUUAUUCUCCAAGAUAACAGCUAUUGGAUGCCAAUUAAUUAUGCUCUAUAGUCAACUUCGCCAGGUGAAUAAUACUAUCUUUGCAUUGUGUAAAGCAAUAAGGGUUAUUAAUUUACAUAAUAGUGAUGGUGAACUGAACUAUACUAGAUUUGUCAUUCCUUUUCAUGGUGAAGAAUAUGCAAAAGCUGUGGAAAUGCUAUUAUCUGCACAUGAAUUCAAAAUUGCAAUCCAUAAAGCAAUGAAGUCUAUACCAGAAGGACAAGCAAGUCGGUGUAUUCGGCAGUUAACAUUGGAUAUAUCAGAAUCUGUAGAGUGGAUGAAAGUUAGUUGUUCGGAGGCUGAUGAAAAAGAAUUCUCUGAAUGCCAUCUAAGUAGCUUGCACAGUUUUAAUCUGGAAGCUGAACUUUUCGGGAGAGGGUUGUCAGAAAUAUAUGCAUUAUUCCUAGAGUCAUUGAUUGUCACAACCGGAAACUGUAACCUUCUUGGCGCUUCUAUAAAGGAAUUAAUUAGAGUGAUUUUCCCUUGCAUGAGCAAUCUGGUUGGACCACAGCAGGAGGAUGCUGUAAACAAAUUCCUAUGGUCUGUCGCGGUAAAAGAUUCUGACAAUGUGAUCGCUAGAAACAAAAACAAAUAUCUGAUAUUUGGAGUCUCCACUUAUUGGGUAGUUUUGUUCUUCUUUCGAUUGUAUACCUCCAGCCGAUGCUUAUAUAGGCAAGCAGCAAUCCUUAUGCCUCCAGAUUUAUCAAGAAAGAUGUCUGCAGAAAUGGGAGAUUCGUUCUCCUCAUUCUCUGGCAGGGAUUGGAUGGAAAUGUCUGAUUGGAUCAAUGGGGGAUUUUUCUCUUGGAUUGUACAACCUUCAGCUUCUCUUCUUUCUGUUAUUCAAUCUGUUUCAAACAUCUUUUGUAAGGACCGUGCAGCCGAUUCUUGUCCUUUAACUUAUGUAAUGCAUGCUAUUGCUUGUGAAAGGCUUGUGGAUUUGAAUAGUCGUAUAAAGUCUUUUGAAUAUUUGAUUAAAAAUGGUGACAAUCUGGUGCAAAUUGCGGAGAUCUCUUCUUUGAGGCAAGAGGCAGCAGGACUCACGGGAUUCAUGAUGGAGCACCUCUCAUUAGUGUCUGAAGAUCAACAGCAAAUAUUCAUUUCUGCUGAUACGACUAAUAAUAAGAUGGUUAACUAUGAAAGUGAUGAAUGGGAUUUCAGUAUUUGCUCUGUGAACAAGAAGUCAUUGCCAACUGCACUUUGGUGGGUUGUUUGCCAAAAUAUUAAUGCAUGGUGCCCUCAUGCCUCUAAAAAGGAUUUGAAGAGAUUCCUUUCUCUUUUAAUCCAUACUUCAAUUCCCUAUGAAAGAAGCAGCUUUGGGGUGGUUAUAGAGCACAAGAACCAUGAAGCUGACAGGCUGAAGAUUGUGGCAUUGCAUCAAAUCUCAUCACAGUGCUUUAUUGAUUCCAGUCUGUAUGAGCAAAGAUUUGUCCGCAGGUAUUUUGCAAAGAGGUUCUGCCGUGCAUUGGAGAAAUCUACAUUACCAUUCAUCAGCGACUUUCCAUCCGGCAAUGUUAAAUUCAAAUCAUCACCUAAUUGGCCGAAUGUCUUAAGUGAUUUAGAGAACUCAUCAUUGGCUAUUUCCUGCAACAAACUCAAUGUAUUUGAUUGUUCCUCAGCCUCAAGUUGCACGGGACAAAACUCCCAACCAUCUACCAUCAUGAAAUUUACUGCUUGUCAGAGUUUGCUUAAUCUUUUGAGUUGUAUGCCAAAAGGUCAUUUGGACACGAGAUCAUUUUCACGUUAUGUGACUUCUAUUCUGAACCUCGAAAGGAUUAUUGUUGGCGGCUUAUUAGAUUAUCAGAAUGCUUCAUACUCAACUUAUUAUUAUGAGCUCUUCAGAUUGUUUGUGUCCUGUCGGAAGGCCUUAAGAUGUAUAAUUACUGCUUGUGAGGAGACAGUAGCCAGUCGAACCUCAGACACUGUACUCUUUGAGGAUUUAUUUCCAGUUUCAUGGCUUUACAAGUCAGUGCAUAUGGUUGCUGGGCUUCAAGAAUCAUUCUCAAAAGAUAUUUAUCAUCAAGUCCAUGAUAUGAUCUUGGCAUUAAUGGAUCACACAUUUUAUGUGUUUCUGACAUUAAAUAAAUAUCAAUCCAAUCAUGCUGUUCGUUUCCUUGAGGUUGCUGAGCUGAAUUUUGGAUGUGCCCAAGAACAGAGAAGUUUAUUGAAUUCGUCCAAUUAUUUUGAAGCCUGGAAAAGUGUAAACAUUGUUGCUAAGAUGUUGAAGGAACAGAUGCAGAUCUUACUUGUAAAUGUGAAGAAUGGCAUUUGUAAUGGAAAAGAGGAAGUUUCUGUUGAUGCUUUAAAUUUGAACAAGUUUGCUUCCAUAAUUUCGUGUUUUAGUGGGUUUUUAUGGGGCCUAGCUUGCGUUGUGAUCGACACAGAUGGGAGAAAUAGUGAUGAGAAAGCUAAGUUGUCGAGGUGGAAACUUGAACCAAUCUCCGAACUCAACCUCUGUAUAAAGGUUUUUGAAGAAAUUUCUAGUCUUCUACUACAAAUGUUUAUUCUUGACGAUAAUCAGCAGUCCACAGCUAUAUGUCAUGCCUAUAAUCUUCAGAAGUCAGGCUACAAUGUAGAUUUGUUGGGUGCAGAGAAGAUUUUUCCGGAUGGCAGUGAUACUGACACUGAUAUGGCAUGUGGUGGACUGCAGGAUGAAUCUGCAGUUGCAGUGACGUGCUCAGCAUCAUCUGACAUCUGUGAUGACUCUGUAAUUGGUAGUGUUCAUAGAAGAAGACCGUGCUUGAAAGAUGCAAAUAGUGUUGUUAGUGUUCUCACUGCUGUUGAUUCAUUUGAACUGCAAUUUUUAAAUAAGCCUUUGUUUAGAAGCAUGCUAAAAGGUGAUUUCCCCAACGCAGCAUUUUUACUCAGGCAGUUGUUAAUCGCCUCUUCUGCUAUUUUGAGGCUAAAUUUGCAUAUUAAGAGCGCUCCCAUGUUGUCAAGCUUGGUGCAUAAGUUUGCUGGCAUUAUGCAAGUCUUGUUAUUGGAAUCAGCGGACCCAAUUCAGGUGCCACACGUCUACUAUUUUGUGUGUUUAGAUGGUGUUCUGAAGUAUCUGGAAGAAUUAGGGAAUCAUUUUCCUUUGUCUAAUCCUGCCUCAUCCAGAGAUUUGUUUGACAAGAUGGUUCAGCUACAGUUACGGGCCCUAGGGAAAUGCAUAACUUUACAAGGGAAAAGAGCAACUCUUGCAUCUCAUGAAACAAGCACCAACACACCCAUAGGAGAAAGGAGAUUUUCUGAAGCAUCAUCUUUUUCUGUCUGGGAAUAUUUAUUGGAUGAAUUCAAAGCUAGGUUGAGGUCAUCAUUCGCCGUGUUCAUAAAGAAAUCAACAGAGUUGCAUCUCCAAUCUGCAGUUCAAGCUAUCGAAAGAGCCCUAGUUGGUGUGCGGGAAGGGUGCACAGUGAGGUAUGACAUAUGUGCUGGAAAUGAAGAUGGAGGAAAGGUUUCUUCAAUUGUUGCAUCUGGCAUUGAUUGCUUGGAUUUGGUUCUGGAAUUUGUUUCAGGACGCAAUUUGAUUGUGGUUAAAAAAUACAUUCAGAGGUUAAUUGCCUGCAUGUUCAAUGUUAUUCUGCAUCUGCAGAGUCCACUAAUCUUCUACGAGAGAUUCACUCAGAGUAAAGAUGAUAGUAAUCCGGAUCCAGGAACAGUCAUUCUUAUGUGUGUUGACGUACUGGCAAGAAUUUCUGGCAAGCAUGCAAUAUACAAAAUGGAUCUCUGGCAUGUAGCACACUCGUUACGUAUACCUUCAGCACUUUUUCAAGAUUUCCAUCUGUUAAAAGAUUCUAAACGUCCUGUUCCAAAUGAUUCUUCAGCAAGUCUAAAUAACCAACCAUCCGACCCAGUAGCAAGUGUGCAUGUCUCUGGUAUAGAUAGGCAAUACUCAAUCGGCCUAUAUUCUGCUUGCUGCCGAUUAUUGCAUAAUGUUGUGAAGCAUCACAAAAGUGAAUGCGAGGGGUAUGUUGCUCUACUUCAAGCUUCUGUUCGUGUUCUUCUUUAUUGUUUGGAGACAUUGGAUGCUGUUGUGGUAGCCAGGGAAGGCUUCUUUUCAUGGGAAGUAGAAGAAGGAGUCAAAUGUGCAUGUUUUCUCAGAAGGAUUUAUGAAGAGCUAAGACAUCAAAAAGAAGUCUUUGGUCCACACUGUUACCACUUUUUAGCUUAUUACAUACGGGUUUAUUCCGGAUAUGGCCCCCGUAAAACAGGCAUCAAAAGGGAAAUAGAUGAAGCUCUAAGACCAGGUGUAUAUGCGCUGAUAGAUGUUUGCUCACCUGAUGAUCUUCAACGUCUUCAUACCACAUUUGGAGAGGGUCCUUGCAGAAACACUUUGGCAACCUUGAAGCACGAUUACGAACUCAAUUUCCAGUACCAGGGAAAAGUCUAAGCGAAGCUUAUUUCUGUGGUAGGAUAUACCCGCAUCAUAAUUUGAAUCUGCCUAUGUGACUCUUUUACCAUGUUAGAAAUAGUGUAACAUCUUACCUAUGUGAUAAUAUUUUUGUUGUGAUAUCUUUCUUACCCAUUAGGCUAACGAUUUGGACGUGAAAAUAACAAAGCUGCUUGUUAUCACUAAAUUGGAUAACCCGAAGUCAUGUUGUCAGUAAACUACCUAAAAGUGUCUUAUUGUGGUAUGCUGUAGCUGUAAUCACAUUGUGAGUCUGAACCAUUGAUCGGAUAGAAUUGACUCAGCUAGAUUGCAAGAAUGGUAUGCCAACAAGAGUCUUCUACCUAAUGUGUAAGAUCCUAACCCUCCAAUUGUGAGUCACUGAAAAUGACCUCUACCCGACUAUGGAUUUUUCUGUAAAAUGCCUUGUCCACCCAGUACCCUCUUCAGCCGGCCGUGUCAUUUGGAUCACUUAGUGAUAAUAUUCCUUAUGGUAUCAUUAGGCUGGUAUGAUAACGAUUGAUUGAGAUUCUGAGCAACCACCAAAUUCUAAAACUCCAAAUGUACCAAACGUAAAUACUUGUGCGGUCUAGAUUAGACUUGGAUGUAGAAGUCUCUUUAUAUAUGUUGGUUUCAAGUUCUACCUAUUUUUCUUCUGAAAUAAAAACUCAUUGAGAAAGGACGGUCAUUGAAUCUUGAUGGGUCAUCAUUGUUAUAGACCAGAAGCCCCUUCUUCAUACCCAGUUCUGGUCUUCUUGGCAGUGACUGUUGUACUUCUUCUCUUGUCAACUUUGAUCUCGUCUUUUGAGGUCGCAGCCCCCAAAUUUGAGAUCAAUUUGGGUCUCAUAGCCGCACCAUUGCUGUUGCUUGCCAUUGUUCACUGGUUGUCAUCAAUGGAAACGAAGAAGCCCUAUAUGAUGCCACCAUGUUGGAAGUGCAGGCAUGCUUGUAAGUGUGGCUACUACUGAAACGAUCAUUUCCUGCUGUAUUUAUCAAAAUUCAUAAGAGCUGGUUUGUCUAGUACCCGGUUAAGAUAAAAGAGGGUUUAUGUGUUUAUUGGUUUCUUUAUGUCAUGUACUGGGUUGAAUUCAAAUUUGGGUACUCUGAUUGUUGUACCAUGACAAAAUGAUUGUAAAAGUUGUGUUUUUCAUUUUGUUGUAUUAGAAGGGUUAACCCCAGCUCUAUCUCGAAUCCUAUUUCCUUUCCUACUCUUCCUCACUACAAGGGUUCCACUUGAGGAUCUCAAA